rnacentral:rRNA from 1 species
GCAGGCUGCAACUCGCCUGCAUGAAGUCGGAAUUGCUAGUAAUCGCGGAUCAGCAUGCCGCGGUGAAUACGUUCCCGGGCCUUGUACACACCGCCCGUCACACCAUGGGAGUCGGUAACACCCGAAGCCGAUAGUCUAACGAAAGAGGACGUCGUCGAAGGUGGGAUUGAUGACUGGGGUGAAGUCGUAACAAGGUACC